GGCACAAGAUGGAAGGGACCUGGGUCCUGGU
rnacentral:piRNA from 1 species